rnacentral:rRNA from 1 species
CCUACGGGAGGCAGCAGUCGAGAAUCAUUCACAAUGGGGGAAACCCUGAUGCCGCGACGCCGCGUGGGGGAAUGAAGGUCUACGGAUUGUAAACCCCUGUCAUGUGGGAGCAAAUUAAAAAGAUAGUACCACAAGAGGAAGAGACGGCUAACCCUGUGCCAGCAGCCGCGGUAAUACAGAGGGCUCAAGCGUUGUUCGGAAUCACUGGGCGUAAAGGGUGCGUAGUCGGUUGCGGAAGUCGUGUGUGAAAGGCGCGGGCUCAACCCGCGGACGGCACCUGAUACUGCGGGACUAGAGUAAGGGAGAGGGAACCGGAAUGCUCGGUGUAGCAGUGAAAUGCGUAGAUAUCGAGAGGAACACUCGUGGCGAAGGCGGGUUCCUGGACCUUAACUGACGCUGAGGCACGAAGGCCCGGGGAGCGAAAAGGAUUAGAUACCCGAGUAGUC